AAAACUGCUGAGAACGGGAAAAGUAGACUGUUAAAAAUCCAAAGAGAGCUAUCGUACGGUGAGAGAUGGUGAUUUUGAAAAGUUGAAGCUCGCCCGGGAGCAUUCCGGCUGAAUAGUCAGGCCGGAACGGUCUUCACCGUUAUAAGAUUAAAGAGAAUUCAAUAAGCCAAUUACACUAUUGGUUGAAUUAAUUUGAGUGGUACCGCGGAACAUGCUUUUCGUCUCAUUU
rnacentral:ncRNA from 1 species